UUACGAUCAUAUCACGUUGAAGCACCGGUUUUCGAUCGAUCACCAAAAUUAAGCAAUAUUGCUCCUGGUCAGUAUCUAAAUGGGUGACGACUUAGGAAUACCAGAUGGUGUAA